UAAGGAAUAUUGGUCAAUGGACGCAAGUCUGAACCAGCCAUGCCGCGUGAAGGAUGAAGGUCCUCUGGAUUGUAAACUUCUUUUAUCUGGGACGAAAACGGGAUUUUUAUCUCAAUUGACGGUACCAGAGGAAUAAGCACCGGCUAACUCCGUGCCAGCAGCCGCGGUAAUACGGAGGGUGCGAGCGUUAUCCGGAUUUACUGGGUUUAAAGGGUGCGUAGGUGGGCUUAUAAGUCAGUGGUGAAAUCUCCGAGCUUAACUUGGAAACUGCCGUUGAUACUAUAGGUCUUGAAUUAUCUGGAGGUAAGCGGAAUAUGUCAUGUAGCGGUGAAAUGCUUAGAUAUGACAUAGAACACCAAUUUCGAAGGCAGCUUACUACAUAUAAAUUGACGCUGAGGCACGAAAGCGUGGGGAUCAAACA
rnacentral:rRNA from 1 species